UUGAAAGAACCUAGAUCUCAUCUCUCUACGGUCAAAAGUAACCUGGAACCCUUGAUUGUGAGACAAUGUGACCAUCGGUUUCUAAGGUUUUUGUAUUGAUUCUUGAAGGAGUCAUCGGAACUGGCGGCACUUGAAGCAUCCAAAGGAUUCGAGAGACGAUAAUGUUCCCUGUUUCAAAUCUUUUUGAGGUGCUCAGUUUUUCUGUCGACAAGGUGGUUGUGGCGUUUGAUUUAUAUGGUUAGGGUUUUCCAGAAUUGGGCUGACGGGAGAUCCGGGCACUCCAAAUAAGUGAGACAGGCAAGAUGUCAUGAAGGAACCAACUUCGGGCGUACUACUGGUGGCCCGUUUAUUGCUACAAGCUAUGACUAUC
rnacentral:lncRNA from 1 species